CCUCCUGCAGCUGCAGCAGAUGCUUUCUCAGGUGUAGGGCUGAGUCUUGUGACUGACUUAGAAAGGAAUUUGAUCCACAUAUUAGAGGCAGAUGCCCGACUCAAGUUCCUCCUGGAGCCUCCAUCAAUGCCAAUUCUUUGGGCAGUGGGACAAGCAGAUGUGGAGGUGGUCACAGAUUCCUUGCUGGAGUGCCAGUGACAGACUGCUCCACCAAAGCAGCAGGCUGCCACAAUUUGGGUCUAUUUCCCGGAUUCUCUCUGUUAAUCAAAAAGAAAUUUAAAGAAAAAAGAGAGCUGGAAUUUUUAUUUAUGUGGUUGAUGUGAACAGCCAGAGCUUUAAGAGACACAUAGAUUGUCAAGAGACAGAAGAUAAAAAUCACAAGAGCUGUAAAAUAGAGCUUUGAGAGGAAAUAAUAAUAAAGCCUUAGAGAACAGCUAUGAACAAAGAAGCUUUUGACUUUUUUUUCUAAUAGAUUUGAAAGCAAUAGCAUUGUGAGCAUGUACCAGCAUGACCAGUUUUGAAUAUUGUGGUCUGUUAUGCCUCAGUUCUAUCAGGAGAUGCUUUGUCUAUGUGGAGAGAUCAUCAGCCAUACAAAUCUGCUGCCGAACAUUCUGGAUGCUGCUAAGUCUUUAUGAUUCAUUUCUACUAUCUGCUUGAGUUCAGAGAAGAUAUUUUGAAAGCAAAAUUUAAAAACCAGAGACGUGACAUUUUUCUGAUGGGUACUUCUAAAGCAGGUUCAGUAAAUGAAGCUAUAAUAAUUGCCACAUCUGGAUUGCACAAAUUGACCACAUUUUCUAAAGCCAUAUGAUAUAAUCAGGUUAAGAAGGGCAAUAUUGGCUUUUCAUAGUGAGGAACGGUCUAUAUUUAGACACAGAGCUACUUCUAUAAGCUCUCAGCACAUUUUUCCUUUGUCCUUUCAUCUCUUCAGUUUGAUCAUCUGAGGUGUCACCAUCCCCCCAGCCUUCUUUCUGCCUACCUCUCAGUUCAUGUCCCUCACCUCUCCAGCCUCUGCAAGCCUUUCUCCCUUGCUUUCUUCCCAGCUGACCUGAGGUGUUACUUUUGUACAAGGAAUUCCUUCUGCAUGCUCACAUCCUGCACCUUUGAUGGCUCCAUUUCUUUCCUCAGUUCAGCAUUACACAGAGAAGCUGGCGCCUAAAGAGUGAUGCCAUUACAGAGCCUGUUGGGAACAAAAGGUCCCCUCUUGGGAGCCAGAGGGCAAUUCCUUUGUGCUUUGAUAACCACGGGAAGCAGGAGCUUCCUGCCUGAGAAACACUUUCACCUCUGCUGCUGCCUGGCACCCACAUUCUUUGCCUGGACAGGGGUUCAUGUAGGUGAGACCAGCGCUGCAGUAGAGCAGAGGGAAGUUCACUGAGUGAACACACGUAUCUUCUCUUUGUUAUGUAUGGGACAAGCCUUGUGGAAGCUGAAAUGAUCCAGCACACACUUCCAGAUGUACAAUAGGAAUGCAGUUCUGCAGAGAAUUAUAAUUUCUGAUAUACACAUCAGAGCUGAAUCUCGGGCUGUCACCUGUGGCUCUCUAUAGAUGGCAGUGGCACAGUCAUCAUUAUGAAACCCACAAUAGCGCCACUGCAAGCAUAAAGGAAAUAAUAAGAUCCACUCAGUUACUCAGGAAAUGCUCUGGGGCUUUCAGCCAGUUUUGGACAUGGAAAGCUGCAUAUAUGGACACAAAUCAGGACAUUAAUCUCUACAGAUUACAAUAUCCUGAAGUCUGUCCAGCAUAUUGCAACAGUCAAAUAUACACCCAGCAAUGAAACACAGAUGUGCUCAUCUUGGACUGGUUCUUUUCCCUGGCAGGGUGGACAAAAUAAAAUUAAUUUCCAUUAUAAUAAUUCUGUACAACAUUUACUUUUCCCAAUGCUUUCUAGUUUCUUCUGCUCAAACAAAAAGAUGAAAGUUCCAUCAGAUGAUGACAACCUCAUCAGGUCCAAAAAGAAAAACCCACAGGAAAUUGAAGGAGCAAUUUAAUCUUCAAAACUCUUCAAAAAUUACAAAGGCCUAAUAUCAGAGGUGCACAUCAGUUCAUAAAUAUGAUUACUGAAUAUCAGUUUUCUCUAAUGCCACUAGGUGCUCUAAAGAGACAACAGUUUAAUUCCUGUACUAUAUUUUUCCCAUCUUUCUGACAACUGCAGGCAACUCAGUUAUUAUUCCACAAAGCCACAAAGGCAGUUUAAGAUUUGAAUCUUGACUAACUCAGGCCCUCAGCUAUAAGGUCCUUUCCACCAAGGUCAGAUAUGACCAAC